rnacentral:rRNA from 1 species
UACGGGAGGCAGCAGUGAGGAAUAUUGGUCAAUGGGCGAGAGCCUGAACCAGCCAAGUAGCGUGCAGGAUGACGGCCCUAUGGGUUGUAAACUGCUUUUAUGCGGGGAUAAAGUCGGCUACGUGUAGCCGUUUGCAGGUACCGCAUGAAUAAGGACCGGCUAAUUCCGUGCCAGCAGCCGCGGUAAU